rnacentral:rRNA from 1 species
GAUGAACGCUAGCUACAGGCUCCCUAAAGCAAGUCGAGGGGAAACGGGAGGAUAGCUUGCUAUCCUUGCCGUCAACCGGCGCACGGGUGAGUAACCCCUAUCCAACCUGCCAUCCAGUGGAGGAUAGCCUUUCAAAAGAAAGGAUAAUACUCCAUGACCUCCUCAAAGGACAUCUGACGAGGAGCAAAAAUUUAUCGCUGGGUGAUGGGAAUGCUUCUGAUUAGGCAGUUGGCGGGGUAAAGGCCCACCAAACCGACAAUCAGUAGGGGUUCUGAGAGGAAGGUCCCCCACAUUGAAACUGAAACACGGUCCAAACUCCUACGGGAGGUAUCUUUGAGGAAUAUUGCCCACCGUAUUUUUGUGGGAACAAAAAAACUCCCGUGCAGGAAGACGGCCCUAUGGUUUGAAAACGGCUUUUAUGCGGGGUUAAAGUGAGUGACGUGUCAUUCAUUGCAA